rnacentral:rRNA from 1 species
GUCGGGAAUAUUGCGCAAUGGAGGAAACUCUGACGCAGUGACGCCGCGUGCAGGAAGAAGGUUUUCGGAUUGUAAACUGCUUUAGACAGGGAAGAAACAAGACAGUACCUGUAGAAUAAGCUCCGGCUAACUACGUGCCAGCAGCCGCGGUAAUACGUAGGGAGCAAGCGUUAUCCGGAUUUAUUGGGUGUAAAGGGUGCGUAGACGGGAAAACAAGUUAGUUGUGAAAUCCCUCGGCUUAACUGAGGAACUGCAACUAAAACUAUUUUUCUUGAGUGUUGGAGAGGAAAGUGGAAUUCCUAGUGUAGCGGUGAAAUGCGUAGAUAUUAGGAGGAACACCAGUGGCGAAGGCGACUUUCUGGACAAUAACUGACGUUGAGGCACGAAAGUGUGGGGAGCAAACAGG